rnacentral:rRNA from 1 species
GACGAACGCUGGCGGCGCGCUUAACACAUGCAAGUCGAGCGAAGCGGCGGACGGGUGAGUAACACGUGAGUAAUCUGCCUUAGACAUUGGGAUAGCCUCGGGAAACCGGGAUUAAUACCAAAUGGUCUAAGAUGGACGCGCGUCUUAUCAGCUUGUUGGUGGGGUAGUGGCCCACCAAGGCGGCGACGGGUAGCCGGCCUGAGAAGGCGGCCGGCCACAUUGGUACUGAGAGACGGCCCAAACUCUACGGGAGGCAGCAGUGGGGAAUAUUGCACAAGGGCGGCAACCCUGAUGCAGCAACGCCGCGUGCGGUAUGACGGCCUUCGGGGUGUAAACCGCUUUCAGCCAUGACGCGGUAGUGGCAGAAGAAGCACCGGCUAACUACGUGCCAGCCGCCGCGGUAAUUC